rnacentral:rRNA from 1 species
UGGGGAAUAUUGCGCAAUGGGGGAAACCCUGACGCAGCGACGCCGCGUGCGGGAUGAAGGCCUUCGGGUUGUAAACCGCUUUUGAUUGGGAGCAAGCUUUCGGGUGAGUGUACCUUUCGAAUAAGCGCCGGCUAACUACGUGCCAGCAGCCGCGGUAAUACGUAGGGGGCUAGCGUUGUCCGGAAUCACUGGGCGUAAAGGGUUCGCAGGCGGAAUAACAAGUCAGAUGUGAAAGGCAUGGGCUCAACCCAUGUAAGCAUUUGAAACUGUAAUUCUUGAGAAGUGGAGAGGUAAGUGGAAUUCCUAGUGUAGCGGUGAAAUGCGUAGAUAUUAGGAGGAAUACCUGUGGCGAAGGCGACUUACUGGACACAAAUCUGACGCUGAGGAACGAAAGCGUGGGUAGCAAACAGG